rnacentral:rRNA from 1 species
GACGAACGCUGGCGGCGUGCUUAACACAUGCAAGUCGAACGGAAAGGCCCUGCUUUUGUUGGGUUCUCGAUUGGCGAACGGGUGAGUAUCACGUGAGUAACCUGCCCUUGACUUUGUGAUAACUUCUGGAAACUGGGGCUAAUACCGGGUAGGAUCUCUUGCUCCACGGGGGGGGUUGGAAAAUUUCGGCGUUUGGGGAUGGACUCGCGGCUUAUCAGCUGGUUGGUGGGGUAGUUGCUUACCAAGGGUUUGACGGGUAGCCGGCCUGGGAGGGGGACCGGCCACAUUGGGACUGAGAUAGGGCCCAGAAGCCUAUGGGAGGCAGUAGUGGGGAAUAUUGCACAAUGGGCGGACGCCAGAUACAGAAACGCCGCGUGCGGGAUGACGGGUUUCGGGUUGUAAACAGAUUUCGCAUGUGACGAAGAGUGCGUGACGGUAAUGGGUAAAAAAGCCCCGGCUAACUACGUG